UACGGGGGGAGCAAGCGUUGUUCGGAUUUACUGGGCGUAAAGGGCGCGUAGGCGGCCACCGCAAGUCAAUUGUGAAAUCUCCGGGCUUAACUCGGAAAGGUCAACUGAUACUGCGGGGCUAGAGUGCGGAAGGGGCAACUGGAAUUCUCGGUGUAGCGGUGAAAUGCGUAGAUAUCGCUUGGAACGCCGACGGUGAAAACAGGUUGCUGGGAAUGUGCCGACGCUGAGACACGAAAGCCAGGGGAGCAAACGGG
rnacentral:rRNA from 1 species